GACUCCAUCCACGGGUAGCCCUUUCCUACUCGAGCCCUCUCACCCUACCCAAGUGCUAGGUCGGCUCUGAAUUUCAUAUCAAACAGAUAGAAGGUGAAGUGGGAUUCCAAACAUAAUAUGGUCUAUCUAUUUCUGAAUGACCACCAAACAUAAUCUAGAGCAUCGCGGGCUCUAAGCACAUACCCUUUACCAUUUCUGGCAAAAGUCCAAAUAAUCCCACAAACACCAUAGUACAAAAGGGUAUUGUGAACAAUAAAUUGGGAC
rnacentral:lncRNA from 1 species